rnacentral:snRNA from 1 species
AUACUUAUCUGACAGGGGAGACAGCAUGAUCACAAAGGUGGUUUUCCCAGGGUGAGGCUCAUCCAUUGCACUCCAGGUGUGCUGACCCCUGCAAAUGUGGGAAAUUCAACUGCAUAAUUUGUGGUAGUGCGGGACUGCAUUCGCGCUCCCCCUCA